GUGCAAUGGAGGGCAUCUUAGUUCCCAAUAUUGAUAUCCAUUCUUUACUUUAUCAACUGGUCUCAUUUCUUUGCAGUUGAUUUUCUCAGUUUGGUAUAUCA
rnacentral:snoRNA from 1 species